CUGGAUCUUAUUGGUAAGUUGAUGGCUUGGCGUUGGAACUGGAUUUCAAAUGUCAGAAAAAUAGGACGCAAGCUGAAAAUUUAGAGGCACUGAUAUGCUUCCAUUUUUCCAUAUUAUUCAAGUCGUGUCUAAGAUAAAACUCAUAGUAUAAAGGAGUAGUUUUGAUGCUGCAUCUCUAAAAGUGGGACAUGAUUCCCUUCCAGUUCUGCCUUAAGCAAUACAUACAGAAUAAGUCGCAUGCUUCAUGUAUUGCAACCACAAUUCAAAUAAAAAUGUCAUGAAAAUCAAAUUAAAGUGCCUGAAUGCUUUUGGCUUAUUGCUGGCUUUGUAUUGACUACCUCAGGGAUUAAUUAUGCAUGCCAUAGCCGUCAGCACCUGUAGGAAAGCCAUACAAGAAUCAUCAAAUAAGGUCAUGUUUACUUGUCUGUUUGUAUGUAAAAUUUGUUGUAUAAAAUAUCUGUGCAUAUUGACGGUUAAUCUGGCAUCAAAACAUAUGCCCCAUGUCAUGCAGCAUUCAAUAUACUAAAAUGCGAAUCUAACUUAGUGGAGGAAUGCCUUGUCUCGGUGUGUGGAAGCGAUGGUGGAACUUGGAAUAGACAUAUACCAUACCUCAUGCAUUGACAUUCUCAACUUGGGAUCGCAGUCGAGACAUUGCUCUGCCAGACGAACCAUCCAAAACAACUGGUAAAGGUCAACAGAAUCUUGCACUGCAGGAUCUAUCAGUUCCAUGUACUUUUUCUCACUCAGGAUUGGUCUCGCCUGAGGAAAAAAACAGAGAUCCAUUGGGGCCCAAUGACUUGAAGAUAGAUUUCGUCCAAAGUAAAGAUUUUAGAUUAAGGAUCUUCAAAAUAAGAAUGCUGUAGUUAUUACCCAUCUCAAGAAGCUUUGCCCCUUUGUAUCUUCAAG
rnacentral:lncRNA from 1 species